AUUGAACGCUGGCGGCAGGCCUAACACAUGCAAGUCGAGCGGAUGAAGGGAGCUUGCUCCUGGAUUCAGCGGCGGACGGGUGAGUAAUGCCUAGGAAUCUGCCUGGUAGUGGGGAUAACGUCCGGAAACGGGCGCUAAUACCGCAUACGUCCUGAGGGAGGAAGUGGGGGAUCUUCGGACCUCACGCUAUCAGGUGAGCCUAGGUCGGAUUAGCUAGUUGGUGGGGUAAAGGCCUACCAAGGCGACGAUCCGUAACUGGUCUGAGAGGAUGAUCAGUCACACUGGAACUGAGACACGGUCCAGACUCCUACGGGAGGCAGCAGUGGGGAAUAUUGGACAAUGGGCGAAAGCCUGAUCCAGCCAUGCCGCGUGUGUGAAGAAGGUCUUCGGAUUGUAAAGCACUUUAAGUUGGGAGGAAGGGCAGUAAGUUAAUACCUUGCUGUUUUGACGUUACCAACAGAAUAAGCACCGGCUAACUUCGUG
rnacentral:rRNA from 1 species